ACAAGCGUACACGGUGGAUGCCCUGGCAGUCAGAGGCGAUGAAGGACGUGCUAAUCUGCGAAAAGCGCCGGUAAGGUGAUAUGAACCGUUAUAACCGGCGAUGUCCGAAUGGGGAAACCCGGUGCACUUCGGUGCAUCAUCGUUAGCUGAAUACAUAGGCUAACGAAGCGAACCGGGGGAACUGAAACAUCUAAGUACCCCGAGGAAAAGAAAUCAACCGAGAUUCCCCCAGUAGCGGCGAGCGAACGGGGAACAGCCCAGAGCCUGAAUCAGCUUGUGUGUCAGUGGAACGGUCUGGAAAGGCCGGCGAUACAGGGUGACAGCCCCGUACACGAAGGCACACAGGCUGUGAGCUCGAUGAGUAGGGCGGGACACGUGAUAUCCUGUCUGAAGAUGGGGGGACCAUCCUCCAAGGCUAAAUACUCCUGACUGACCGAUAGUGAACCAGUACCGUGAGGGAAAGGCGAAAAGAACCCCGGCGAGGGGAGUGAAACAGAACCUGAAACCGUGUACGUACAAGCAGUGGGAGCCUUCGUAAGAGGGUGACUGCGUACCUUUUGUAUAAUGGGUCAGCGACUUAUAUUCUGUAGCAAGGUUAACCGUAUAGGGGAGCCGAAGGGAAACCGAGUCUUAAUUGGGCGUUAAGUUGCAGGGUAUAGACCCGAAACCCGGUGAUCUAGCCAUGGGCAGGUUGAAGGUUGGGUAACACUAACUGGAGGACCGAACCGACUAAUGUUGAAAAAUUAGCGGAUGACCUGUGGCUGGGGGUGAAAGGCCAAUCAAACCGGGAGAUAGCUGGUUCUCCCCGAAAGCUAUUUAGGUAGCGCCUCGUGAACUCAUCUCCGGGGGUAGAGCACUGUUUCGGCUAGGGGGCCAUCCCGGCUUACCAACCCGAUGCAAACUGCGAAUACCGGAGAAUGUUAUCACGGGAGACACACGGCGGGUGCUAACGUCCGUCGUGAAGAGGGAAACAACCCAGACCGCCAGCUAAGGUCCCAAAGUCAUGGUUAAGUGGGAAACGAUGUGGGAAGGCCCAGACAGCCAGGAUGUUGGCUUAGAAGCAGCCAUCAUUUAAAGAAAGCGUAAUAGCUCACUGGUCGAGUCGGCCUGCGCGGAAGAUGUAACGGGGCUAAACCAUGCACCGAAGCUGCGGCAGCGACACUAUGUGUUGUUGGGUAGGGGAGCGUUCUGUAAGCCUGUGAAGGUGUGCUGUGAGGCAUGCUGGAGGUAUCAGAAGUGCGAAUGCUGACAUAAGUAACGAUAAAGCGGGUGAAAAGCCCGCUCGCCGGAAGACCAAGGGUUCCUGUCCAACGUUAAUCGGGGCAGGGUGAGUCGACCCCUAAGGCGAGGCCGAAAGGCGUAGUCGAUGGGAAACAGGUUAAUAUUCCUGUACUUGGUGUUACUGCGAAGGGGGGACGGAGAAGGCUAUGUCGGCCGGGCGACGGUUGUCCCGGUUUAAGCGUGUAGGCUGACUUUCCAGGCAAAUCCGGAAAGUUAAGGCUGAGGCGUGAUGACGAGGCACCACGGUGCUGAAGUGACAAAUGCCCUGCUUCCAGGAAAAGCCUCUAAGCAUCAGGUAACAUCAAAUCGUACCCCAAACCGACACAGGUGGUCAGGUAGAGAAUACCAAGGCGCUUGAGAGAACUCGGGUGAAGGAACUAGGCAAAAUGGUGCCGUAACUUCGGGAGAAGGCACGCUGACAUGUAGGUGAAGCCCCUGCGGGUGGAGCUGAAGUCAGUCGAAGAUACCAGCUGGCUGCAACUGUUUAUUAAAAACACAGCACUGUGCAAACACGAAAGUGGACGUAUACGGUGUGACGCCUGCCCGGUGCCGGAAGGUUAAUUGAUGGGGUUAUCGCAAGAGAAGCUCCUGAUCGAAGCCCCGGUAAACGGCGGCCGUAACUAUAACGGUCCUAAGGUAGCGAAAUUCCUUGUCGGGUAAGUUCCGACCUGCACGAAUGGCGUAAUGAUGGCCAGGCUGUCUCCACCCGAGACUCAGUGAAAUUGAACUCGCUGUGAAGAUGCAGUGUACCCGCGGCAAGACGGAAAGACCCCGUGAACCUUUACUACAGCUUGACACUGAACAUUGAGCCUUGAUGUGUAGGAUAGGUGGGAGGCUUUGAAGCGUGGACGCCAGUCUGCGUGGAGCCGACCUUGAAAUACCACCCUUUAAUGUUUGAUGUUCUAACCUGGCGCCGUGAUCCGGCGUGGGGACAGUGUCUGGUGGGUAGUUUGACUGGGGCGGUCUCCUCCCAAAGUGUAACGGAGGAGCACGAAGGUCAGCUAAUCCUGGUCGGACAUCAGGAGGUUAGUGCAAUGGCAUAAGCUGGCUUGACUGCGAGAGUGACGGCUCGAGCAGGUGCGAAAGCAGGUCAUAGUGAUCCGGUGGUUCUGUAUGGAAGGGCCAUCGCUCAACGGAUAAAAGGUACUCCGGGGAUAACAGGCUGAUACCGCCCAAGAGUUCAUAUCGACGGCGGUGUUUGGCACCUCGAUGUCGGCUCAUCACAUCCUGGGGCUGAAGUAGGUCCCAAGGGUAUGGCUGUUCGCCAUUUAAAGUGGUACGCGAGCUGGGUUUAGAACGUCGUGAGACAGUUCGGUCCCUAUCUGCCGUGGGCGCUGGAGAAUUGAGGGGGGCUGCUCCCAGUACGAGAGGACCGGAGUGGACGCAUCACUGGUGUUCGGGUUGUCAUGCCAAUGGCACUGCCCGGUAGCUAAAUGCGGAAGAGAUAAGUGCUGAAAGCAUCUAAGCACGAAACUUGCCCCGAGAUGAGUUCUCCCUGAGACUGUAAGUCUCCUGAAGGAACGUUGAAGACGACGACGUUGAUAGGCCGGGUGUGUAAGCGCAGCGAUGCGUUGAGCUAACCGGUACUAAUGAACCGUGAGGCUUAACC
rnacentral:rRNA from 1 species